AACGAACGCUGGCGGCAUGCCUAACACAUGCAAGUCGAACGAGACCUUCGGGUCUAGUGGCGCACGGGUGCGUAACGCGUGGGAACCUGCCCUUAGGUUCGGAAUAACUCCCCGAAAGGGGUGCUAAUACCGGAUAAUGUCUUCGGACCAAAGAUUUAUCGCCUUUGGAUGGGCCCGCGUUGGAUUAGCUAGUUGGUAGGGUAAAAGCCUACCAGGGCGACGAUCCAUAGCUGGUCUGAGAGGAGGAUCAGCGACACUGGGACUGAGACACGGGCCAGACUCCUACGGGAGGGAGGAGUGGGGGAUGGUGGACAGGGGGCGGAGGCAUGAUCGAGCAAGGCCGGGUGAGUGAUGAAGGGUUUAGGGUUGGAAAGCGCUUGUACCCGGGAUGAUAAUGACGGUACCGGGAGAAUAAGCGCCGGCUAACUCCGUG
rnacentral:rRNA from 1 species